GACGAACGCUGGCGGCGUGCUUAACACAUGCAAGUCGAACGAAGAGCGACGGAAGCUUGCUUCUAUCAAUCUUAGUGGCGAACGGGUGAGUAACGCGUAAUCAACCUGCCCUUCAGAGGGGGACAACAGUUGGAAACGACUGCUAAUACCGCAUACGAUCUAAUCUCGGCAUCGAGGAUGGAUGAAAGGUGGCCUCUACAUGUAAGCUAUCACUGAAGGAGGGGAUUGCGGCUGAUUAGCUAGGUGGAGGGGUAAGGGCCCACCAAGGCGAUGAUCAGUAGCCGGUCUGAGAGGAUGAACGGCCACAUUGGGACUGAGACACGGCCCAGACUCCUACGGGAGGCAGCAGUGGGGAAUCUUCCGCAAUGGACGAAAGUCUGACGGAGCAACGCCGCGUGAGUGAUGACGGCCUUCGGGUUGUAAAGCUCUGUUAAUCGGGACGAAAGGCCUUCUUGCGAAUAGUGAGAAGGAUUGACGGUACCGGAAUAGAAAGCCACGGCUAACUACGUG
rnacentral:rRNA from 1 species